GUGGGAGGAGCGCAAGUCGGAAAGAGAAAGAGAGAGGGCCGAUGGACUCGAAGGAGAGGGAAAAGCACGGUGCUUUUAAAAAAGUUUUAUCUUGCGGCGCGCUUGGUCUCUCAGACGCUACCGAACGCCGGUACGGUGUUGCACGGUGUGUGCUGUGCUUUCUUCGCUGUCCCAUCGGGAGAACAGACAGACAGACAGACAGAGAGAGAGAGAGGGAGAGAGAGAGAGAGAGCAAGCGAGCGAAGGAGGGGAGAGAGAGGAGAGGAGAGGAGAAAAGAGAAGAACAGAGUCAGAGAUCAUCGCGUGGACCAUCUUCUCGCAAAGUCCUCGCGCGUACCCUUCUUCCCAUACCGAUCCUCUACUUUUUAUUCUUCGUAUCUCGUCAUUGCCCACUCGCGUUUGCAACGACGGACGCACGCGGAUAAUUAAAAGGAACAACAGGUUCUUCGUCUUGCAUUCUUUUAUUCAAAUACUCGCGUAAUGAGUCCUUGAAGAAUUCGCCGAAAGAAAGAGACAGAUAAAUAGAGAGAAAGAGAUUGUAAUUUCACGCGAGAAGAAGGCGAAGAGAUCGAGGAGUACUCUCUUUGCCUGUUAUCGAAAUGAAGAAGAAUCGUGUUUUAUUAAAGAGUGCGUUGCUCUUCUUCCUGAUCGGCGCUCAUCUACUACUCGUCUCCGCAUCCGAGAACGAUGACUUGGUCUUCGAUCAAGAUGGCAAACAAUCGAGCUUGGAAAUUCCGUUGAUCGAGAAACACGAGGAGCAAUCGAUCUUUCAUAGGAUAAAGAGAUCGUUCUUUAGUUUUUUCGAUCCCUUCGUAUCCGCUACUACUACCAAUACCAGUGAUACUAACGUCGACAACGAUACCACCACUUCAGCGAUCGGUACCACGUUAUCGUCGCCUACGAACUUUCGAAAAAACGAGGACACCGUUGACCAGAUCGACGAUACGAAUAACACCGACAUUACGAAAUCUAAGAAAACCCGUCCGUAUUUGGAGAGAUUGAUUCGGGAUAGUCAAGAGGAAUACGUCGACGACAAGCAGGAGAACGAGAUCGGUGACGUGGCGGAAGGGCGAAGACAACCGCAGAAUUAUGUCAAUUCCGACGACGAGGACCUCGUGGCGUCGGGCGAGAUCGAGGGUAGCGCAACGGAUUCGGACGUUUCCCAACCUGUCACGGAGGGACAAAAGAUCGAAGGAAAGGCCCGAUUUUAUCGGAUAACCUUGACGGUCGGCGAGCCUUACAGAAGAGAGUACGCCGACAGAAAGAGCAGGGAGUACAAGGAGCUAAGCGGUAAUUUGACACAGGCUUUGGAAGAGCUAUACGCUCGACAUAUUCCCAAUUACGAUCAUAUGGCCAACGUCAUUAAAAUAUCGCCAACGUCCGACGCGUUUACGUCACAAGUCACACUCGACAUUGGUUCUACGUUCACGGAUGAGUUGGAGGUACGGGAUAUACUCGAGAAACAGUUGCAGUAUCAUUCCUUGGGAAGCAUCCAAGUUGGUCCGGAGGGAUUCACUUUCCGACAUUUUCUAGGGAUGGAAAGCGUAUUACCGGAAUGCGAUCAAUCGAGCGAAUUAACGUGUAGAAACGGUGCAUGCGUGCCAUUAGAUUCGCGCUGCGACGGCACGGACCAAUGCGAGGAUGGAUCCGACGAGGUGGAUUGUCACUCUACGUUACGGCCGACUACGACGCACUUUAGCGAGGGCGAAGAAGAGAGAUGGCCCUUGCCAACGGAGGCAACCAGCGAGGAGCCGACCGACACAGGGGAGGAGGACCUGAAAAUAGCCAAAGGAGAGGAAGAGGAUUCGACCUUGAGGGCAGCUUCGAACAAAUGUCGCGCCGACGACGUGGUCCGCUGUCAGGAUGGAAGUCGUUAUAUUUGUUCCGUACAGCGAUGCGACGGCGUGCCGGAUUGCGAGGACGGGGCCGAUGAAGUAGGAUGUCCGCAUUCAGGCUGCAAGUUUGGCGAAUUCGCUUGCGACGUGCGAAGGUGCAUCCUGGAAUCUCAACGUUGCAACUUUGUCGAGGACUGUCAAGACGGAAGCGACGAGCACAAUUGCAAUUAUCCCGCGUGCACGGUGAGCCAAUUCAAAUGCAGGAACGGAGAGUGUAUCGACGGAAGCAAGCAUUGCGACGGUGUUUUGGAUUGUCGAGACAGAUCGGACGAAUAUGGCUGUCCCUGCAGGGAAUACCAAUUCGAGUGCUCGGCCGGUUACUGCGUAGAUCUAUCUCGUCGCUGCGACGGAUACGCCGAUUGUUCCAACAAAAAGGACGAAGAAAAUUGUAUCGGAACGACAAGAUGCCGAGAGGACGAGUUCGAAUGUGCCAGCGGUACGACGUGUGUCAGCAAGAUGGCAAGAUGUGAUGGACGAAACGACUGCGACGAUCGUUCAGACGAAUAUAAUUGCACCGUAACAACCUGCAGCAGCGAUCAGUUCCGUUGCAUAGACGGCAUCUGUCUGAGCAUCGACAAAAGAUGCAACGGCGUGGCUGAUUGUCGUAACGGCGAGGACGAAAACCAGUGCGGUUGCGGAGAUGCAGAAUUUCGGUGCACGGACGGCCGAUGUAUAGGCUACGAGUUGCAGUGCAACGGGGUGAACGAGUGUUCCGAUGGCUCGGAUGAGAGGGAUUGCGGUUUGGCCCCCUGCCCUUCCAUGGACUUCACCUGCGGCGAUGGCUCUUGCAUACCGAAGAGUUCGGUCUGCGACGGAUUCGACGACUGCCCGAGGGCAGAAGACGAGCUUAAUUGCGACCAGGAAUGUACGCCAACGCAGUUCAAAUGUCUCACCGGGAACAAGUGCAUCGAGGGUAUCUACAGAUGCGACGGCCAUCCGGAUUGUCCAGAUCGCAGCGACGAGGACUGUGCUAACGAAACGAUUACACAUACCACCAGCCCGCCUACGAACCAAACCUGGCCAGGAUGGGCGAACGAGAAAACGUGGGAAUGCGAUCCUAAUCGAGAAAUGCGCUGCGACGACGGCAAAUGCGUGCUUCUCAAGCGUAAAUGCGACAAUAUCUUCGACUGUCUCGAUGGUACCGAUGAGCGCGGUUGCGGAAUCUGCACGCCUGCCGAAUGGAAGUGCGCCAGUGGCGAAUGCUUGCCAGAAAACGAAAGAUGCGACGGGGUACGCAAUUGUGUCGAUGGAUCCGACGAGUCUGGAUGUGUAACUGAAUGUCCGCCUGGAAAUUUUCGAUGCAACGAUGGAUUGUGCCUCGACAGUAAGAAACGUUGCGACGGACGAUCGCACUGCUUGGACGGCUCCGAUGAGAUCAAUUGCCAGUGCCCGAUUGGUAAGAGAGCGUGCGACAACGGCGUUUGCAUCGACGAGAGAUUCUUCUGCGACAAAAAUUACGACUGUCUGGAUCGCAGCGACGAAUUUGACUGCCACGACGAGGCAACGAGCGAAAAGGGUUAUCCGAAGGAGAAGGAGUGUAGCGAGAACGAGUUCACCUGCAAUGACGGAUCUUGUAUACCUCGAUAUCUCGUCUGCGAUGGUAGAUCGGAUUGUUCGGAGGGUACGGAUGAGUUCGGCUGUCCUCCUCACGGGUGCGGACAAGAUCAGUUUCAAUGCAGAACCGGCGAUUGUAUUAGAAACGACCAAAGGUGCGACGGACGUAUCGAUUGCGAGGAUGGCUCGGACGAACCCUCCGAGUGUGACACGACGACGCUCAAGCCAGAAGGACCAGGCGCCCGUCCGAUGCCAGGUCGUUGUCCAGCCGGACAAUUUCAAUGCGUUUUGGAUAAGGCCUGUGUACCGCAGUCAUCCAUUUGCAAUGGCGUUCCCGAAUGCCGAGACGCCAGCGACGAAAACAAUUGCGGUUCAACCGGUGGAUCGACCGGACUGAACUUGAAAACUUAUCCGAGCGAGCAAGUGAUCAAGGAGAACCCGGCGAAGCAAGGCCGUGAGGUCGUCUUCCAAUGCCGUGACGAAGGUCCUCUGCGUGCAAGAGUACGCUGGCUUCGCGAUAACGAUCUUCCUCUACCGCCUGCCAGUCGAGAUCUUAAUGGCAGAUUAGAAAUACCAAACAUUCAGCUCGAUCAUGCGGGAAUUUACAUUUGCGAAGCAGUGGGCUAUCCUCCAUCCAUGCCAGGAAGUCGGCUAAGCGUCAAUCUCACUGUCGAAAAGUUCGAGGAACCAACAACGAGGCCCCCACAAGUCUGCCAAUACGAUCAGGCCACUUGCAGCAACGGAGAUUGCAUUCCGAAAUCGUACGUCUGUGAUGGAAAAUUCGAUUGUACCGACGGCUCAGACGAGAUGAGAUGCAGUCCGCACGGGUGCGAGCCCAACGAAUUCAGAUGCAACAACAAGCAGUGCGUGAGUAAGCUUUGGCGUUGCGACGGUGAAAGGGAUUGCGCCGACAACAGCGACGAAGAGGAUUGUACACCUUCUCCGCCUGGUUCACCCUGCCGUUAUCACGAAUUCGCUUGUGCGUCGUACAAUCAAUGCAUACCUAAGGUUUAUCAUUGCGAUCGAGAACGGGACUGUCUCGAUGGUAGCGACGAAUUUGGCUGCUCUCCCGUAUACAUCGUUAAGCCACCACCGCCUAUGGUAGUCCUCGAGCCGGGUGACGUUAUGGUACUGACCUGUACGGCAAUCGGCGUACCCAUUCCGGAGAUAAACUGGCGACUAAACUGGGGACACAUACACGCGAAAUGCAGCAGUACCUCCGUGAACGGAACCGGGACAUUAACGUGCCCUGAUAUACAGCCAGAGGACUCGGGCGCUUACUCCUGCGAGGCUUUGAACGUUGUCGGCUUCGUUAUAGCCCAACCGGACGCUAUUUUGGUGGUAAAAGAGCCAAAGGGCAUUUGCCCGAAGGGAACGUUCAAUGCCGAGGCGCGUUCCGUCGACGAGUGCAUAUCCUGCUUCUGCUUCGGCGUAGCUACCGAGUGUCGUAGCGCGAAUUUGUUCACUUAUCAGAUACCACCACCGUUCGAAAGUCACAAAAUCAUAUCGGUACAAACGGAAGCGGAAAUACGUUUUUACGGUGACAUCAAGGAUCAAAUAUCGGAGGUUCGACCGAUCGGCCGGGAUGGGAUUCAAUUGCUCGAAUCGUUUAGCAACGAAAUGAGUACCUACAGGAUACCGUACUACGCCUUAUCCGAGAAUUAUCACGGUAGCCAAUUAAAGUCUUACGGUGGUUACUUGACUUAUACGAUACAUUACAAUGGCAACGGUGCGCCUAACGACGCGCCCUCGGUCAUUCUUACCGGCAACAAGUACAUACUCGUUCACAAAGGCAACCACAUACCUCCCGAUUACGAGACGAAAGAAUCCGUUAGAUUUUUCUACGGCGAGUGGUAUAAGCGUCAUGGUAACACCGAGGUACUGGCAUCCAGAGAAGAAAUAAUGAUGACGCUGGCGAACGUCGACAAUAUUCUCAUCAAAGCAAAAUACGAAGAUUCCCCGCAAUUGGACGUGCGUAUCACCAAUAUCGUAAUGGACACCGCCGACGUGCGCAACACUGGAUUAGGCUCUGCGUCCUUUGUGGAAGAGUGUCAAUGCCCUACCGGAUACAAUGGUCUUUCGUGCGAGAACUGUGCCUCGGGAUAUCUUAGACGCGAGACCGGACCGUGGCUUGGACAAUGCUACCGAGACGAUCCACCCUGCGCCCCCGGUUACUACGGAGAUCCUUCGAGGAACAUACCUUGCCAGCUUUGUCCGUGUCCUCUGACCAAUCCAUCGAAUCAAUUCACACGAACCUGUCAUCUCGGAUCGGACGGUGAGCCUACGUGCGAUUGUCCAGCCGGAUACGUCGGUCGUAGGUGCGAACAAUGUGCUAUCGGCUAUCAAGGAAAUCCUAUCAUUCCCGGCGAUAUGUGCGUACCCGUGCAACAAUGCGAUCCCGAUGGUAGUCUCACGCCGAACGCCGAUCCAAAUACCGGAAAAUGUCGUUGCAAGCUAUACGCAACGGGCCUGACGUGCAACCAAUGCAAGGCAAAUACAUUCAACCUGGGCUUUAGGAAUCAAUUCGGAUGCAUAAGUUGCUUUUGCAUGGGUAUUACGAAUAAAUGUGUAUCGUCCAAUUGGUACAGAAACGAGAUUCACGUGUCCUUCACAAAUUCCUUACGAGGUUUUACGCUGACCGAAUCGAAAACACCCGACGCACCACCGAUAACGGAUGGCAUUCGACUCGAUACGAUCAAUCGCGAAAUAGUCUACAACGAUUUUCAUAAUCGCGGCAACAAUGACGUUUAUUAUUGGCAAUUACCGAAUAUUUUCCUCGGCGAUCAAAUAACAUCGUACGGUGGUAAUCUGAAAUAUACGGUUCGAUACGUUCCAUCGCCGGGUGGCCAAAGUUCGAGAAACAAUGCCGCGGACGUCGAAUUGAUCAGCGCCAAUGACAUUAAAUUGCUCUAUUAUUCGCGAGAAUCUCCCGAACCGAAUUCUCAGCAAUCGUUCGUCGUUCCGUUGCUCGAGCAAUAUUGGCAACGUGCCGAUGGAACCACAGCUGACAGAGAACAUCUUUUAAUGGCACUAGCGGACGUACGAGCUAUCAAGAUUAAGGCUACUUACACGACCCACACCGACGAGACGGCGCUUUCCUCGGUUUCCCUUGACACGGCAGAGAAGCAUAACACCGGAAAGGCAAGAGCGGUCGAAGUUGAGGAAUGCAGUUGUCCCGUUGGAUACAAGGGACUCUCGUGCGAGGACUGUGACGUUGGUUAUACAAGGGCCAUGGAAGGCUUGUAUCUUGGAAUUUGCGAGCCUUGUAAUUGCAACGGACACUCGAGUCAGUGCGAUCCCGAGACCGGUCUGUGCGAGAAUUGCGCCGAUCAUACUACCGGAGAAUACUGCGAGAGAUGUGAAUCCGGAUACGAAGGAGACGCGACUCGUGGUACUUCCAGUGAUUGUACGCGCAGAAAUGAUCCUCAAGAGUGCAAUUGCAACGAAGCUGGAUCCCGUAGCUCCUCGUGUUUCGCCGGUCGCUGCGAAUGUAAGAGGAACGUCGAGGGACCGGAAUGCGACAGAUGCCGUCCGGGUACCUUUGGAUUGUCCAGGGAAAAUACGGACGGUUGUAACGAAUGUUAUUGCAGUGGCGUGACCAAACAAUGCCACGAAAGUUCGCUCUACGUUCAACAAAUACCAAUAUGGGUUUAUGAUUCUCAUCAUGGAUUUACCCUUACCGAUGACACGAGACAAGACGUUAUAAACGACGGCUUUGAUUUGAAUGUUGCUAUGAACGAAAUUGGAUAUCGCUAUCCCGACAAUCGUAGUCGCAGACUAUUUUGGUCUUUGCCGUCCGCUUUCACUGGUAAUCAAGUAAAAAGCUAUGGUGGCAGUUUAACUUUUACUCAGCACAUCACCGCACAGCCUGGCGCACAAACCUAUAAAGAUCAAGACGUUUUACUCAUUGGAAAUGGCAUCACAUUAUUCUGGACUAAUCCAAUAGAUCUUUCACCGGACAUACCAAUGACCUAUUCCGUUCUAUUGAAAGAAUCAGAAUGGAAACGAUUAACGACAGCAGGUCCACGGAGUGCUUCUCGUACGGAUAUGAUGACGGUUCUUUCCAAUAUCGAAGCUAUUCUGGUCCGAGCUUCUCAUAGUGAAGAAAUGACGGCGACUUACAUCAGCGACAUUAGUCUCGAUACAGCGGUAGAAAAUUUCUCUGGACAUAGAAGAGCACCUAACGUCGAAGCGUGUCGUUGUCCAGCCGGUUACGUCGGAACAUCUUGCGAAACUUGUGCUCGUGGAUAUUACAGAGAUACCAGUGACAGAGCUUUUAGCGUUCUUGGCUCCUGCAAUCCUUGCCCGUGUAAUAACAACGAAGAAAAUUGUGAGAUCAAUAGGUCCGGACACGUCAAGUGUAAUUGCUUGCCAGGAUAUACAGGACAAAAUUGUCAAGACAUUGACGAAUAUCCUCAAACUACUCCUCCUCCAACACCGACGAUUACCCCACCAAGAAUUGUCGUUUUCGUACAAGAACCAGAAUUCCAAAUUGUACAUACUGGAAAUACCGUUAGAUACCAUUGCAGCGGUAGAUCGCUCGACAAUGGCUCUUUGUAUAUUCGCUGGGAGAAGGAAGGUGGCCAAUUGCCAUCGGGUAGAAGCAUAGACGAUUCUCACGGAGUCUUAAUUAUUAGAGACGUCAAAGUAUCCGACAGUGGUAUAUACGUUUGUCAAGUUAGCGACGGGAUAAACAUUGGAAUUAAAAAAGUUACUCUUACCGUUGGAGCUUUUCCGAAAAGUUUAUUAGAGAUACCAGGAGCAAAUCAGAUAAAACCUCGAGUCGUCAUUAUGCCACCUUACCUCGAAGUAAAAGAAGGAGAACCGGUAGAAUUUCAUUGCGAUGCCAGUGGUAAUCCCCCUCCGCAAGUAGAAUGGAUCCGACUUCACGGAAGUAUCAGCUCGGAGUCGUCGUUCCAUAAUGGCGUUUGGAGGCUACCAGCUGCCUCGAGAAACGAUGCGGCCGAAUAUAAAUGCAUUGCUAAGAAUAACGUCGGGGUGGAGGAAAAAACAACGAUUCUAUACGUUAGAGAAAAUCCAGAAGGUCCUCCGGCUACUGGUUUGGCUCCGAUUAUAACACCCGCCGAAUGGGUUGGUUCUAUCGGAGAUGUCGUCAGAUUAACUUGUACCCCGUCGCAAAGUGCAAACCUAACGUGGAUUCGAUCCGACGGUUUGCCUCUACCUUACUCCGCGACUCAGCGCGAUGGUACUCUUAUAAUCAAUAAUCCGACGAUUAAUGAUUCCGGUUUAUAUGUCUGUAUCGCUGUCAGUUACAAAGGAACAGAAACAAAUUCUACCGCUAGAAUAACGAUUAUUCCACGAAGAGAUCCACCAACGGUUAAAGUCAAGCCUGAAAGGCAAACGAUAUCGCAAGGUACGUCGACCGAAAUACGUUGCGUUACGAGCGGAGAACCGGGCCUCCAAGUGAAAUGGAGCAAAUUGUCGGAAACGAUGAAUUCGAACGUCCAACAAGUUGGAGAUACCCUUAGAAUUGUUAAUGCACAAGUUUCCGAUCGAGGCGUUUAUAUCUGUCGUGUCAGUAGUACCAUAGGCAGCUACGAAGCUAGUGCCAUCGUCGAAGUUGAACCUCGUGAAAUUCCGGUACUCGAAUUAUAUCCAAAGGACAUCCAGCCAGUUACGCUUGGCGGUUCUGCUGAUUUACAAUGUCGCGCCAUAGCCGGUCUUCCACUUCCCGAGAUCCGCUGGUCUCGUCAAGAUGGUAGAUCAUUUGCUCCGAACAUCGAACAACUUCCUGGCGGAUUAUUGAGAUUUUCUAAUAUUACGAUAAACGACGGUGGCUCUUACGUUUGCUCGGCGACAAAUGAAGUUGGUUCCGUCUCUGAGAUAGCUCAUAUCGAAGUACAGUCGAUACCUGUUAUUACGAUCGAACCAAGGGCAGGUAUUUUGCAAGUCAAACUUGGGGAUAGGGUGCGAUUGGCUUGCAGCGCUGUAGGCCAUCCGCAACCAAAUGUUGCCUGGAGUAAACAUAUCAAUGGAUUGGCCACGUACGAUGCGUACAGCAAAACUGCAGCAACGCCGUUAAGUGCGGUAUACGAAAUAUUCUCCGUUUCCCCCGACGACGAAGGUUCGUACUCUUGUCAAGCAUCAAAUUCGGUAGGCAUAGUGGAGGACCGUGUACAAAUACGGAUCGAGGACAACGAUAUUGAAUCUACACCUUGCAGAGGUGAUAUGAUGACGUGCGAUAAUGACAACAGACGUCCACCAAUUCAGGAUCACAGAAAUCCUUACGAAGGUGGUGUAUUAAUUCCUGAAGACUUUUUAAGAAUUCCCAAUAACGGUAAAGUGGAAAUGCGUUGUCAGGUAAUUGCCCCCGAUGGCGAUCAGAUUUAUCUUGACUGGAAGAGAAGUGAUCAUCGUGCCUUACCGAAGGGCAGUACCGUUCAUAAUGGCGUUUUAAGCAUUCCAACGGUCGACAAAAGUGCCGCAGGGGAAUACAUUUGUCUUGGUUUAAAUCCCGCCGGGACGGUCAUUUUCAAGGCUAAAUCUCAUUUGGAAAUUAUAUCUCCACCAAGAAUCGAGUUAAAUCCAACUCGUCAAACUGUUGGACCUGGAAAAAAUCCUUCUAUAACUUGCACCGCAACCGGGGACAAGCCCCUUCACAUUCAAUGGGAAGCUAUAGGACGGCCACUUCCCUAUUCCGUAUCCAAUGAUAAUGGCGUUUUGCAAUUCCACGGUAUAACGUAUUCAGAUGCCGGAAAAUAUGUUUGCAAGGCCACGAACGAAGCGGGCACAGCGGAGGCGGUAGCGGAAGUCAUAGUAAAUGAACAUACCUACGACGACACGAGCAUUCGUGCCACGCAAAGGGACGUUACAACGUAUCCAGGUAAUUCUGUACGUUUGCGUUGCGAAAUCAGAGAACAUGCUGCAAUAGAAUGGAGUAGAGAGGGCCAAUUUUUGCCUUUACAUAGUCGAAUUGGCGAUGACUAUUUAGAAUUGACGCAAGUGAGACCAGAAGACAGUGGAAGAUAUAUUUGUCAAAUUCGUAACUCCCAUGGAGUUUCCAGUGAUUACAUUAAUUUAAAUGUAAUACUAGUUAAUUUGCUUGCGGAUUGCAUGCCAGUGUACCGAUCCCAGUGCAGACCCGGGGAGUAUCAGUGCUACGGUCAACAAUGCAUUCAUUUGGAUUACUUUUGCGACGGCUAUGCUCAAUGCAACGAUGGUACUGACGAACGCUUCUGCCGCAUCCCGCAAUAUCGCCAAUUUCUUCAAAGACGACGCGCUGCCGUUGCACCUGCACUUACCAUCGAGGCAUCUCAAGAUCCUGUAAAUAUCGGAGAUACGGUUGACAUACGUUGCGCGUGUUCGGGUACUCCUAGUCCGCACUAUCGAUGGUCCAGACCAAACCAUCCAGAUUUACCAUCGAAUGCUCAAACAUAUGAGAAUAUUCUUAGAUUAUCUAAUGUAGCCGUUAGCGAUAGUGGUACCUACAAAUGUACAGUAAUGACUCCGCAGGGCAUCUUCGAGGAAGAUUUCAAUCUCAUUGUACAGGGUGGACAUAACGAUGGGCCAGCAAUUGAAACGAAGUUUGCACCUUAUGGAUCUAGCAUUGAAAUGGAUUGUCACGUUGAUCUUGAACCACCUGUUAAAUUCCAAUGGAACAAACUUGGUGGAUUAUUAUCUCAGGAUACGGAAACUUAUCAGAAUAAAUUGAAACUGAAAAAUGUCAAAGCCGAAGAUGCAGGAACAUACAUUUGUAUAGCAAACAAUGAUAAAGUAAAUAUAGAAGUACCGACUGUGCUUGUUGUAACAGGAGUCGUACCUAACUUCAGCCAAGCACCAGAAAGUUAUAUAGCUUUGCCUCCGUUACCUGAUUCAUAUCUCAAGUUCAAUAUUGAAAUAUCUUUCAAACCGGAGAAUUAUGAAGGCAUUAUCUUAUACAAUGCUGAAUCAAAUCAUGGUAGUGGCGAUUUCAUCCUUCUAUCCUUAGUAGGAGGAUAUCCACAAUUCAAAUUUGACCUUGGUUCUGGAUCAGCUGUUAUAUCAGCAGAUAAAUCGAUUACUCUGGGUCAAUGGCAUACGAUUAAAAUUCAACGUGUUAGAAAAGAAGUAACGAUGCUAGUCGAUGGUCAAGGACCAUACAGAGGAGUUUCGGCUGGUCGAAGACAAGGAUUAGAUCUUAAGGGACCACUUUAUAUCGGUGGAGUUCCAAAUCACAGUAUUUUUAUCAAAGAGGCUGUUACGAAUAUCGGAUUUAUUGGUUGUAUCAGUAGACUAGUCAUUGGUGAAAAGGAAAUUGAUUUAAUUGGAGAUCAAACGGGUAACGUAGGGAUAACAACUUGCGAGACGUGCGCUGAAAAUCCAUGCAAUAACGGUGGAGUUUGCCAGGAGGCAGCUACGAAGAAUGGUUAUAUGUGUUUAUGUAGAGCCGGAUUUAGUGGGAAACAUUGUAACUUUGUUGGACAAUCUUGUUAUCCAGGUGUCUGCGGAGACGGAAAAUGUAUGGAGAAGGAGACUGGUUUUGAUUGUUACUGCCCAUAUGGAAAAACUGGUCCACGUUGCGAACGAUCGGUAAAGAUCUAUGAACCAGCUUUUAACGAUGACAAAGCUUUCAUUGCACAUGAUACACCAAAGGCUCUUCGAAGGCUUAAAAUAGCUAUGAACUUCAAUCCUACCGACGAAGGAGACGGAAUAUUGAUAUAUUGUUCUCAAAGCGAAGAAGGACUUGGGGAUUUUGCAGCGCUCAUAAUAAAGAACAAGCACGUUGAAUUCCGCUAUGAUAUCGGCUCGGGUAUGGCCACAUUAAGAUCUAAUUAUAUCGUGCAACCUGGAACAUGGACGUACGUAACGAUAAACAGAGAUUUUAAAGAGGCGAAAUUAUCUGUGAACGGAGAACCAUUUGUCGAGGCAAGAUCACCUGGUGGUGCACGUACCAUGACACUGAAUACGCCAUUAUACAUCGGUGGCAUUGAUCGUAGAAAAAUUACAUUGAACAAGAAUCUUAAUGUCGAUCGUAGUUUUCGUGGGUGCAUUAGCGAACUCGAAGUAGCUUCCGUUAGCCUGGAGAUCUUAAAGUCGGCAAUGGAUAUGGCAAAUAUCGAAGAUUGUUCCAUGCUUCAUCCGAAUCAAACGAUUCCACGUACUACGCUCAUUACCCCUCCACCAACAAGUCCACCAACGACUUUGUACGAUCCGUGCACAUCGAGUCCUUGCAUACACGGGUUCUGUCAGAAAUUAGAUUCUCGCGAAUAUUCCUGUACGUGCGAAUAUGGAUACGCGGGAAGAAAUUGUGAAAAUGUAUUGAAACAGUGUGAAGUGUAUGCACCUUGUAGAAACGGUGGCAGUUGCACGGAUCUACACGGAUCUUACAAAUGCGACUGUAGGCUUGGCUUUAACGGCCAAACUUGUGAAAAGUUAGCAGAGAUCACGUAUGACAUUGCGUUCAAAGGAGAUGGCUGGUUAGAACUGGAAAGAUCAGUAAUGACGCACGAAGAAGAACGUGAAGUAUUGGGUUUCGAGAUAUCGACGAAUAAAACAAAUGGCUUGAUCAUGUGGCACGGUCAAACGCCGAAUGAUUUGAAUCCCGAUGAUUACAUAUCUCUCGCGGUUGUUGACGGUUACGUGGAAUAUCAAUACAAUUUAGGAUCAGGGCCGGCGGUUAUUCGCGUAACCGCUCAAAGGGUCGACGACGGAGAAAGGCAUAGAAUCAUUUUAAAACGACAAGGUAGCGACGGUAGCAUCGAGUUAAACGGCGAACAUACGGAAAGUGGACUGAGCGACGGGCUGCAACAAAUUUUGAAUACCAGAGGCAGCGUUUAUCUAGGAGGUGUACCCGAUUAUGCAAUGACCUACGGACGAUACCACGAAGGAUUUUCCGGUUGUAUUUACACUCUCGAAGUACAAGACUCCGGGGCUAUUGAUAUUGGAGAAAAAGCUAUUAGAGGAAAAAACGUUUCUCCGUGUACCAGAGUGAGAUGGAUUCCAUCUUCAUUGGUAUUUACGGACGCAGAUGCAGAUAUUUUUGAUGCGUUUGUACCUCCACCUCCUGUAAAUAUUAUUCAUCCAAAACCUGCUGCUAAUGUAGCCACACGUAAUAUUAAGAGUUAUUUACUUUUGAUCGUGUUACAACAUUUGAUCGCGUUGAAAAUAGAAAAUAGAAAUUUAAUCGUUGUUCGUACACUUUUUUACAUAGGCGCUAUUAAUAUAUCAUAAGAAAUGUAUUAAUUUAAAUAGACAAAUAUAUUUCAAUUUAUACAAUUUCUAGGGUAUACUUAUAUUCCAAGUUUUUGCUAAUACAUCAUUGCUUGUAAUAUUUGUAUUCCCGUAAAUUUUCAAAGAAAUUUAUCCGGACAAUUAUUAAAUUUAUUAAUUCUUUUAUGUACAAUUGUUUAACGCAAUCUGGAAAGAAUCUGACCGAACCCAUGUGAUCCAGUUGAAAAGACUUCCAUUCGUGGUGAUCCGGGAAGAAGACAUUAAGAGAAUCCAUACGUAUGGAUAUUUUAUCUGAUUUUUCAAAAAAAAAAAAAAAAAAAAAAAAGAAAAAAGAAAAAAGAAAAAAAAAAGAAAAAAAACAUUUUUCAAUAUUCAAAGCGGUAUGGUUCUUUUGGCGGAUGUUUCAGCGUUCGUUAAUACGUUUCGUUUUAUAGAAAGCUGCGUUUAUUUGCGAUGUAAAACUAUUACAUACAAAUGUUAUGUAACAGCGAAAAGUAUGGCAUUGUUGUAAUUUCAAAAAUUUUCCACUAAAAAAUAGAGAUAAACAUUAUUAAUUGUCGUAAAAAAUUCAAGAUAUUUCUCUAUACACAAAUAUUAAUUAUAAUUGGACAAAGACUUUGAUAUACAAACCCGUAAAGGUUUGUACCGAUGAAAGUAUCCGAUUAAAAUCAUACUCUGUUCAUUGAUAAUAGUAAGAAUCAUAUCUGACCUUAAGCAAAGUAAUUCUGACUUUUGUUUAAGUAUUUUAUGUUGACAAUCAUUCCCAAUGAUGUUAUUACAAACUAGUAACAAUUAUUUGAUUACUUACAAACUUUCUAAC